AUAUAAGUUACACAUUACAUAUUCAAAAAAGCUUCUACUAUAAGAGAAAUUCUACACUAUCACAUUUACACCAUAUCAUCAAUAACAAGCCAAUCAUAUUUAUUCUUUUCAAACAAAAGUAUAAUAAAAAUAUUUUUUUUACAAUCAUGAUAGGACAUAUAUUUCUAAAAUAAAUAUUUAAUUAAUUUAUUACGCCACGUCACUAAUAUACCCGUCGUAUUCUCGAAUUUUUCCUACUAGAGAGCCUCAAUAAUAU
rnacentral:lncRNA from 1 species